AAGGGCAUACGGCGGAUGCCUAGGCGUUUCGAAACGAAGAAGGACGCGAUAAGCUGCGAUAAGCCGUGGUUAGCUGCAAGUAAGCAUUGAUCCACGGAUUUCCGAAUGGGGCAACCCGGCAAGAGUAACGUCUUGUCACUCUACCUUCGAGGUAGAGAGAAAACACCCGAUGAACUGAAACAUCUAAGUAGUCGGAGGAAAAGAAAUCAAAGAGAUUCCCUGAGUAGCGGCGAGCGAAACGGGAGGAGCCCAAACCUGAGGACUUCGGUUCUUAGGGGUUGCGGACCUGCAACAAACUGGACACUUUAGUGGAAGCAUCUGGGAAGGUGCGGCAAAGAGAGUGAGACCCUCGUACACGAAAGAGUGAAAGGCGGGCAGGGAUCCAGAGUACCACAGGGCACGAGGAACCCAGUGGGAAGCAGGGUGGACCACCAUCCAAGGCUAAAUACAUCGAAACGACCGAUAGUGAAAAGUACCGUGAGGGAAAGGUGAAAAGAACCCCGGGAGGGGAGUGCAAAAGAACCUGAAACCGUAUGUCUACAAACAGUCGGAGCACUUUACAUGUGCGACGGCGUGCCUAUUGAAGAAUGAACCGGCGAGUUAAUUUAUGCUGCGAGGUUAAGCGGGCGACGCGGAGCCGAAGCGAAAGCGAGUCUUAAGAGGGCUGUUAGUAGCAUGGAUUAGACCCGAAACCACAGUGAUCUAUGCAUGUCCAGGUUGAAGCUCAGGUAAAAAUGAGUGGAGGACCGAACCCGUGCGUGUUGAAAAACGUUGGGAUGAGGUGUGCAUAGGGGUGAAAUGCCAAUCGAACGUGGAGAUAGCUGGUUCUCCCCGAAAUAGCUUUAGGGCUAGCCUCAGGCGAAUCACCAUAGAGACGGUAGAGCACUGAUCGGGCAAGGGGGCGUAAAGCCUACCGACCCCAGUCAAACUACGAAUGGCUCAUAUGGGCAGCCUGGGAGUCAGAAUGCGAGUGAUAAGACCCGUAUUCAAGAGGGAAACAGCCCAGACCGCCGGCUAAGGUCCCAAAUGCUGUGCUAAGUGGAAAAGGAUGUAGGACUUCGAAAACAACCAGGAUGUUGGCUCAGAAGCAGCCACCAUUAAAAGAGUGCGUAAUAGCUCACUGGUCGAGAGGCCCUGCGCCGAAAAUAUCCGGGGCUAAAGCACAGAACCGAAGCCGCGGCAGGGGUGCACAUGUUCACAGAGCGCUCAAAGCGCAGGAAAAAUUGGUAUCUGCAAGGAAACGGAGAGCGUCGCAGCAGCGCUACGGCAAACGACGUUGACACAGCAGAGAGCGAUUUUAACAAGCUUUUUGAACGUUGUGUGGAUGUGUGCAUCACUGGGUAGGGGAGCGUUCUUAUCUGGACGAAGGCAGACCGGAAGGACUGCUGGACGGGUAAGAAGUGAGAAUGCCGGUAUGAGUAGCGAAACGACAGGUGAGAAUCCUGUCCACCGAAAGCCUAAGGGAUCCUGGGCAACGCUCGUCGUCCCAGGGUAAGUCGGGACCUAAGCCGAGGCGAAAAGCAUAGGCGAUGGACAACUGGCGAAAAUUCCAGUACCGGGCGUCUUCGUUUAAGGAUGGAGUGACGCAGGAAGGAAGCUGAGCGCGCGAAUGGUUGGGCGCGUCGAAGGCGGUAGGCUAGUAUGGAGGCAAAUCCCCAUACUAUAAGGCCGAGAACCGAUAGAUAGGAAAGACUACGGUCAAUCUGAAUUCAGCUGCACUACACUGCCAAGAAAAGCUUCUAACGAGAAGACGUCCGCCCGUACCAAAACCGACACAGGUAGGCGGGGAGAGAAUCCUAAGGUGCGCGGGAAAACCCUCGUUAAGGAACUCGGCAAAAUGCAUCCGUAACUUCGGGAAAAGGAUGGCCGCUUGGGGUGAAGAGACUUGCUCUCGGAGCUUUGGGCGGCGGCAGAAAAGAGGCCCAAGCGACUGUUUACCACAAACACAGGUGCCUGCGAAAGCGCAAGCUGAAGUAUAGGUGCUGACGCCUGCCCGGUGCAGGAAGGUUAAGGAGAGUUGUUAGUCCUUGAGAUGAAGCAGCGAACUGAAGCCCCUGUAAACGGCGGCCGUAACUAUAACGGUCCUAAGGUAGCGAAAUUCCUUGUCGGGU
rnacentral:rRNA from 1 species